UGCAAAGGAGCCACAAGUCAUGGUCUCACAGCCUAAUAUUGGUAGGGAUGUCCUGUCACUUUUGCCAAAUUGUUUUUUAAUUAAUGCAUUUUGGCAAAAGUGAUUAGAUUCCCUCUUUAAUGUUUCAUGAAAACAUUUGUGGUGAGUCUUCUCUAACACCCAAGGGAUUGGAAAAUUAGGAUGAAUACAGCUUAAAUUGACUCUCUCAAAAAGAGGUAUAUACUUCCCUAUGAGAAAACAUGGCAACCUUCCUGAGUGCUGGUUUCACUUAAAGAUGUUGGGUUGAAAAGUUAAAAUAUCUGACCCGCAAAUAUUUUAAAAAAUUCUUAUACAAAAAUGAAUGUAGAUAUAUGUCCCCCUUGCUCCUUUGAGCCAUACGCCUCAUCUCCACCAAGUAGAGUGUCCUUGACUUAGCUCCGCAGGUGUUGUGUGUUUCAUAUCCUGGUUAAGAAUUAAGUGCAAAUGUCCCCAGAAUUUUUAAAAUAAAAAGUAUACGACUGCAGAAAAGCCGUCUAUAUCCCUCAUCCUCCCUGUGGUGCCCAGGAAGGGUAUGAGGCCAUCACUAGCUGCUGGUGAGGGAUUCUGAUAGAAAAAUGUGAGGAGGCGCAGUUGCUAGAGUUUAAGCGCAGACUCCUACCUGUGCCUGUGUGGUGGACCUCCUUUAGGCCCCUGUCAUCCCUACCCCUGGUGUUCACGCCAUUGUAGAAGCCUCUCCCUUUGAUGGCCUGCAGGAGCUGUGCCUUGCUCCACAUGAACAGAAUAUAGCAAAGGCAGUGGGAUGUCACUCACAUGAUUAGACAAUGCUGUAUCAGACCCGGUCUCAUCAGAUCUUUCCUCAUGGGCUUGAUGAAGCAAGAAUCUAGACUGGGGGAGAAAGCCCACGUGGUGAGGAACUGCAGGUGGUACCUAAGAUGUGAAGACAGCCUCUAACUGGCAAAACCCAGGACCCUCUGUGAGACAGCCCCAGGAACUGAGCUCUGUCAACAACCUGAAUGAGGCUAGAAGCCAGUUCAUUCCCAGGUGAAUGUGCAGCCUGCCUGACACUUGGAUUGUAGCUGGUGAGAUCCUAAGCAGAGACUCCAGUGGAGC
rnacentral:lncRNA from 1 species